GUCUUAGUCUGGAGCUCACUCAACUGUAUAGUAUUAUCACCUAGGAUUUUUUUGCAUGGACGUCAGCGUAUUAUUUUGCCAUCGUUUUCAAAACAUUUAAAUUUCCUUAUGAUGGUGUAGUGAGUGAGUGGCCAUAUGUUUGAACAUCCCAUCUGGCGUUACAUUAUUUGCAGUUUGAGUGUUAGAGAAAGAUGGGACCAAAAACUAAAAAUGAGGUGUGGAGAUAUUUUAAAACCAGUGCACAAAGUGC